CCCGCGUCCCCGCUCGCUCUGCUUCACCAGAUCGGGUCUCAACCAGAGCUCCCUUCCACCAUGAACUUCCUACCCGACCUCCGCCCAAUCUCCUUCAAUAGGUCAAGCGAUCCACCGUUGGGCCUCAGCCCAUUUCGUCCUGGCGUAGCCCGAGGCUGCAUUUAUCCACCUUCGGCCCAGCACAGGUCCCAGGCCAGCAUUUGCUUCUUCCCGGAUAGGAUCACGAAGUGGUGCGGUGAGAUACGA